rnacentral:rRNA from 1 species
GACGAAGGGGGCUAGCGUUGUUCGGAAUUACUGGGCGUAAAGCGCGUGUAGGCGGUUGUCCAAGUUGGAUGUGAAAGCCUUGAGCUUAACUCAAGAUAUGCAUUCAGGACUGGAUGACUAGAGGACCGGAGAGGAUAGUGGAAUUCCCAGUGUAGUGGUGAAAUACGUAGAGAUUGGGAAGAACACCAGUGGCGAAGGCGGCUAUCUGGACGGUUUCUGACGCUAAGACGCGAAAGCGUGGGGAGCAAACAGG